rnacentral:rRNA from 1 species
GACGAACGCUGGCGGCGUGCCUAAUACAUGCAAGUAGAACGCACGGUUUAUACCGUAGCUUGCUACACCAUAGACUGUGAGUUGCGAACGGGUGAGUAACGCGUAGGUAACCUGCCUGGUAGCGGGGGAUAACUAUUGGAAACGAUAGCUAAUACCGCAUAAUAUUAAUUAUUGCAUGAUAAUUAAUUGAAAGGUGCAAUUGCACCACUACCAGAUGGACCUGCGUUGUAUUAGCUAGUAGGUGAGGUAACGGCUCACCUAGGCGACGAUACAUAGCCGACCUGAGAGGGUGAUCGGCCACACUGGAACUGAGACACGGCCCAGACUCCUACGGGAGGCAGCAGUAGGGAAUCUUCGGCAAUGGACGAAAGUCUGACCGAGCAACGCCGCGUGAGUGAAGAAGGUUUUCGGAUCGUAAAGCUCUGUUGUAAGAGAAGAACGGGUGUGAGAGUGGAAAGUUCACACUGUGACGGUAUCUUACCAGAAAGGGACGGCUAACUACGU